rnacentral:rRNA from 1 species
CCUACGGGUGGCAGCAGUGAGGAAUAUUGGUCAAUGGGCUUACGCCUGAACCAGCCAAGUCGCGUGAGGGAAGACUGCCCUAUGGGUUGUAAACCUCUUUUGUCAGGGAGCAAAGCCGGCUACGUGUAGCCGGACUGAGAGUACCUGAAGAAAAAGCAUCCGCUAACUCCGUGCCAGCCGCCGCGGUAAUACGGAGGAUGGGAGCGUUAUCCGGAUUUAUUGGGUUUAAAGGGUGCGUAGGCGGGAUGCCAAGUCAGCGGGAAAAUCGCGGGGCUAACCCUGUCUUCGCCGUUGAAACUGGCGUUCUUGAGUGGGCGAGAGGUAGGCGGAAUUCGUGGUGUAGCGGUGAAAUACAUAGAUAUCACGCAGAACUCCGAUUGCGAAGGCAGCUUACCGGCGCCCAACUGACGCUGAAGCACGAAAGCGUGGGUAUCGAACAGGAUUAGAUACCCUAGUAGUC